rnacentral:rRNA from 1 species
CUUGACAAACCUAUAAGAGGUCCAGCCUGCCCAGUGACUCUGUUCAACGGCCGCGGUAUCCUAACCGUGCGAAGGUAGCGUAAUCACUUGUUCUUUAAAUGAGGACUAGUAUGAAUGGCACCACGAAGGUUAUACUGUCUCCUUUUUCUAAUCAGUGAAACUAAUCUUCCCGUGAAGAAACGGGAAUAAAAAUAUAAGACGAGAAGACCCUAUGGAGCUUUAAACAAAUAUACACCUGCCUCUUUACCAAAAAUUUCAGAAGACAAGUAAUUACCCGGGCAUUUUGAUAUAGCGUUUUAGGUUGGGGUGACCGCGGAGCAAAAAAUAACCUCCGCAGCGAACGGGAGUAUCCCCUAAACCAAGGGCCACAACCCUAAGUAUUAAUAAAUUAACACUAAUUGACCCAAUAAAUUUGAUCAAUGAAC